GGGCCCGUAGCUCAGCUUGGCCAGAGCAGCUGGCUUUUAACCAGAAGGUCGGGGGUUCGAAUCCCCCCGGGCCCG
rfam:Candidatus Micrarchaeota archaeon CG1_02_55_41 cg1_0.2_scaffold_1819_c, whole genome shotgun sequence.